AUAGCGGAUUCCGAAAAGCUUUAUGAGUAGGAG
rnacentral:ncRNA from 1 species